AUUGAACGCUAGCGGGAUGCCUUACACAUGCAAGUCGAACGGCAGCGCGGACUUCGGUCUGGCGGCGAGUGGCGAACGGGUGAGUAAUGUAUCGGAACGUGCCCAGUAGCGGGGGACAACCACUCGAAAGAGUGGCUAAUACCGCAUACGCCCUACGGGGAAAGGGGGGGAGUCGCAAGACCUCUCACUAUUGGAGCGGCCGAUAUCGGAUUAGCUAGUUGGUGGGGUAAAGGCCUACCAAGGCGACGAUCCGUAGCUGGUUUGAGAGGACGACCAGCCACACUGGGGCUGAGGCACGGCCCAGACUCCUACGGGAGGCAGCAGUGGGGAAUUUUGGACAAUGGGGGAAACCCUGAUCCAGCCAUUCCGCGUGUGCGAUGAAGGCCUCGGUUGUAAGCACUUUGGUCAGGAAGGAAAUACGUGUGGGUUAAGUUAACCCU
rnacentral:rRNA from 1 species